UGGGAAACAGGGUUUUUUCCUUUAUUCCCUUCAGAAGAAGAGUCCAGCAGAUUCCCCAUGCUGAGAGAUCUGACAUGAAAUACCUGAUUGGUUUAAGAAAGCUUCAGAGAGCCUUCUUUCAUUUUUUCUUAGCCACUCACUCAGCAAGCAUUUAUUGGGAACUUGCUAUCUUUCAAGCAACGUGUUAAAGAAGAAAGGAAGGAAGGAAGAAAGAAGAAAGGAAGGAAGGAAAGAA